rnacentral:rRNA from 1 species
UACGUAGGGUGCGAGCGUUGUCCGGAAUUAUUGGGCGUAAAGAGCUUGUAGGCGGUUUGUCGCGUCUGCUGUGAAAAUCCGGGGCUCAACCCCGGACUUGCAGUGGGUACGGGCAGACUAGAGUGUGGUAGGGGAGACUGGAAUUCCUGGUGUAGCGGUGGAAUGCGCAGAUAUCAGGAGGAACACCAGUAGCGAAGGCGACACUCUGGGCCGGUACUGACGCUGAGGAGCGAAAGCGUGGGGAGCAAACAGG